UUGAAAAGUUGUCAUUAUUUCCUCUUCGGUCCACUUUUCCUUAUUUUGUAAGCUGCCUGUAUGUUGUCAUUGCAUUGAUCAUACAUUCGGCAACAUUCGUAUUUCUUCUUGGAUCCUUGCAGCCAUUUUCUGUCAGGAUUAAAGGAGAAUAAAUAGGCCCAUGUCAAACCUCUGGCCUCUCUGUACAGCACUGUGUGUCCCCUAUCCAGCCACACUAAGGGAACCUGUCCUCAAGUGUUGGAAUGUUGAACUCAACUCAGUUUGACCAGUAUGGUGUAUAUCAGCACCACUUCAACCCAGCAGCUACAACAUCACUAAACAGUCUGACAACCAAUAUGAACAAAUUGCGAUCCAAAAAAACAAGACCUUGAUGACUAACAAACUAGCAUGAAGUCGAUGAUGACAUACUUGUAAGUUAGAUAGGAAAACACUGCAGCUGCUUGUUGAAGGGAAUGAUGUCACCAUGCAUGUCUGGUACAGUCAGACCCGGGGAGGACGCUAGAUUCUACAAGCCCUUUGAUCCUGUCUCCAUGGCGCCCCCAGAUGUUCUGCUUGUCGGGGCAUUGUGAUGUGGAAGCCUGUUUAUUUACAGAGGUGGCAGUAUGAUACCUGAAUCUGGUCAGUAUUGCAGCUCAACUCCAUGAGUCCUACAGUCUUAGAAGAAGCAGUCUCUUUGAUUUGGUGAUUGCCGAGUUUAUACCACAGCAAAGUACAACCUCACCAUCAGAAUACCUAAAUGGGUAAAAAUGAAGAUCAGAAUAAAAUGUCAAAGAGCGCGUCGAGCUGUCACGCCCCAGCGCCACCAGGGAGGGGCUCUCCUCGCCCACCUGGCCUAGCUCGCCUAGCUGGCCGUUACUCCACAAGGCACCUGGACAGGAGAGGGACCCGCAGGCAGGAGGGCCAGAGGGGGAAGAGUGAAGGAGUGUCAGCUUGACUGUUUCCAGGAGGGGAGGGCCCCGCUAAUCAAAAGUGGCGUUGCUACUCGGAGACACUGAGGAAAGGGGAGGGGAGAGAGAUGACACCUCACAGAUUUAUUACCUCGGAAUCUUCCAGGCCGAGCCGCCCCCCUGCAAGCCGUCAACGAAGCCCCAAACCGCCAGAAAACAGGCAAAAUAAAUAAGACUAACCAACAUUCUAAAACAAACAUGGCAAAUGUUUGGAAUGCCAGCCCGACACACACUGUGCCAAGUGACACCUCUUUAAAUUAAGAUUAACACUAGUUUGCCUUUGUUCUGAAUUUCUGUGUAGAUUAGAGAUGAUUAUUUUGCAUAACAUUUAUUUUCAAAACUAGAAAGUUUGGAAUUUGGGCUUUUAUGUAUGAAUGUUUAUUAAACAUUUUCCUUUUAGGAAAAUAUUACAAGUGACUUGAAUGUGCAUUAUAAAAUAUACCUUGCUCUCAAUCUAGCAUGAAGAACUAGGUCCAACAUAUUCAAAUGAAUCACUAGAAAACUAGAAUUUUAGUAGCUAUAUUAAAAGUAUUUACUGUUAACAAAAAAAUCUGACAAAUUCAUCUGAUUCCAUCCUGUUGUUCUCAAUAUACAUAAGUAUUUUGUUACUCAAAGAUCAAACCACAAUUAUAAA